GGGAUAACACUUAGAAAUAGGUGCUAAUACCGCAUAAGCGCACAGUCCCGCAUGGGACAGAGUGAAAAACAUUAGUGGUGUAAGAUGGACCCGCGUCUGAUUAGCUUGUUGGCGGGGUAACGGCCCACCAAGGCGACGAUCAGUAGCCGGCCUGAGAGGGUGGACGGCCACAUUGGGACUGAGACACGGCCCAAACUCCUACGGGAGGCAGCAGUGGGGGAUAUUGGACAAUGGGGGAAACCCUGAUCCAGCGACGCCGCGUGAGUGAAGAAGUAUUUCGGUAUGUAAAGCUCUAUCAGCAGGGAAGAAAGAAAUGACGGUACCUGAGUAAGAAGCCCCGGCUAACUACGUGCCAGCAGCCGCGGUAAUACGUAGGGGGCAAGCGUUAUCCGGAAUUACUGGGUGUAAAGGGAGCGUAGACGGUAAUGCAAGUCUGGAGUGAAAGGCGGGGGCCCAACCCCCGGACUGCUCUGGAAACUGUGUAACUGGAGUGCAGGAGAGGCAGGCGGAAUUCCUAGUGUAGCGGUGAAAUGCGUAGAUAUUAGGAGGAACACCAGUGGCGAAGGCGGCCUGCUGGACUGUAACUGACGUUGAGGCUCGAAAGCGUGGGGAGCAAACAGGAUUAGAUACCCUGGUAGUCCACGCCGUAAACGAUGAUUACUAGGUGUAGGUGGGUAUGGACCCAUCGGUGCCGCAG
rnacentral:rRNA from 1 species